GUUCCUNUAGUNNAACUGUAAUAACAGCGGCUUUUCAGGCCGCAGGUCCUGGAGAGAGGCCGGGCGGGAAUU
rnacentral:tRNA from 1 species